rnacentral:rRNA from 1 species
CCUACGGGAGGCAGCAGUGAGGAAUAUUGGUCAAUGGUCGGGAGACUGAACCAGCCAAGCCGCGUGAGGGAGGAAGGUACAGAGUAUCGUAAACCUCUUGUGUCAGGGAACAAAGGCGGGGACGUGUCCCCGGAUGAGUGUACCUGAAGAAAAAGCAUCGGCUAACUCCGUGCCAGCAGCCGCGGUAAUACGGAGGAUGAGAGCGUUAUCCGGAUUUAGUGGGUUUAAAGGGUGCGCAGGCGGUCUGUUAAGUCAGCGGUCAAAGCCCGGGGCUCAACCCCGGCCCGCCGUUGAAACUGGCAGUCUCGAGUUGGAGAGAAGUAUGCGGAAUGCGCGGUGUAGCGGUGAAAUGCAUAGAUAUCGCGCAGAACUCCGAUUGCGAAGGCAGCAUGCCGGCUCCACACUGACGCUGAGGCACGAAAGCGUGGGUAUCGAACAGGAUUAGAUACCCUUGUAGUC